rnacentral:snRNA from 1 species
UCACUUACCUGGAUGGGGUCAAUGGAUGAUCAACAAGGUCCAUGGCCUGGGUUGGUGACCUCCAUUGCACUUUGGAGGGGUGCCCGUCUAAGGUCGGCCCAAGUGGUUGAGCCUACGUCAUAAUUUGUGGCAGUGGAGGCCUGCGUUCGCGCGGCCUCUGC